rnacentral:rRNA from 1 species
UACGUAGGUGGCGAGCGUUGUCCGGAUUUACUGGGCGUAAAGAGCGCGCAGGCGGUCGUUCAAGUCGCGUGUGAAAGCCCCCGGCUCAACUGGGGAGGGUCACGCGAUACUGAUCGACUCGAAGGCAGGAGAGGGAAGUGGAAUUCCCGGUGUAGUGGUGAAAUGCGUAGAUAUCGGGAGGAACACCAGUGGCGAAGGCGACUUCCUGGCCUGUUCUUGAUGCUGAGGCGCGAAAGCUAGGGGAGCAAACGGG